GUCCCCGUAGUUUAUUAAAACCUUAGUCUUGUAAACUAAAAUAGGCUUGCCCGGUGACU
rnacentral:tRNA from 1 species